rnacentral:lncRNA from 1 species
AGAAGGUGAUUGAUAUGAUGAUUCAUAGAGGUAUUCUUGUGCACGGUUAAUGUAUAUGAGGUGGAGUGGACAAGGCAAUACAAGUUUUUCAUGGUUGAUGUUCGGUGUUGUAGCAUAUUGAUUCACGGAUAUUGCAAAUGAACCCAUUAUUUAAUAUGUGAGUGAGAACUCGAGACUUGCUUGUGAUUGCUGGUUUGGUGUCUAUUAUUGUUUGUAAUCUAAUGAAAUAGUUGCAUAACAGGAACGAAUGUACUAUUGGUAUUGAUUCGAGUGUAAUUAUCUUGAUGAAAAAUCAGAGUCAUAUGAAUUGCAAGUGUAAUCAGUCGAUGCUACACUUUUGUUUACUGUUUGUGUUCUAAGAAAUUCUUCUUAGACAGACUGAUUGUCAUCUUCCAAUUCUGAUGCAGCUCUUAAAAUGCGGAAGAGAAAUGCAUGGAUUCAUACAUUCACAUAAUAAUAAGACUAAUUGAGUCACAAAAUCGUUGUAAAAUGUGAAUUACUGAGUAUUGUGCAUAUUACUGUUAUCAUGUAGAAAAGAAAAAAGAAUCAGGAAAAGAUUGAGGAGAUGCUCUAAUCUCUCUGAUGUUCAUUUUGUGAUGGCCUUACGUGUUUAUGAGAUUAGAUUGCCAGAAAUUUGCCUGAUUUACCACGGAGACCAUCUGUUUUAUUUACCUCAAGCAUAUCAGUAACCGGCGCCAGCUCUGUUAACUGAUAUCUGAGUUAGAUUUGGCCAUGUCAACUAUGGGGAAGAUCUUUCCAUACCUCACAUGCUCAGGUCUCUGGUCUUUACGUUGGUGUUCAGGGAUAACUUGAGACAUAAACCAGACCAUAAUCAAUGAUGCAUUCGUGUUGUUUAUCGGUUUCUUAUUGCUGGAAUAUCGCACAGUACGUUUAGAUUUGCACAACGAUAGUGAAACGUGUCUUUUUGGUUAUGUGCAAAGAUUUCUUCGUCCUUGUUUUACAAAUGUUCCAAAUCUUGGUCACUGGUUGUAAAGUUUCUAAUAUUGU